rnacentral:rRNA from 1 species
UACGGGAGGCAGCAGUGGGGAAUAUUGCACAAUGGGCGAAAGCCUGAUGCAGCUAUGCCGCGUGUAUGAAGAAGGCCUUAGGGUUGUAAAGUACUUUCAUCGGGGAGGAAAAAACAAAACUAAUAAUUUUAUUUCUUGACGUUACCCGAAAAAGAAGCACCGGCUAACUCCGUGCCAGCAGCCGCGGUAAUACGGAGGGUGCUAGCGUUAAUCAGAAUUACUGGGCGUAAAGAGCACGUAGGUGGUUUUUUUAAGUCAGAUGUGAAAUCCCUGGGCUUAACCUGGAACUGCAUUUUGAAACUGAAAUACUAGAGUAUCGUAGAGGGAGGUAGAAUUCUAGGUGUAGCGGUGAAAUGCGUAGAUAUCUGGAGGAAUACCUGUGGCGAAAGCGGCCUCCUAAACGAAUACUGACACUGAGGUGCGAAAGCGUUGGGGAGCAAACAGGGAUUAGAUACC